UACGUAGGGUGCGAGCGUUGUCCGGAAUUAUUGGGCGUAAAGGGCUCGUAGGCGGUUUGUCGCGUCGGGAGUGAAAACUCAGGGCUUAACCCUGAGCCUGCUUCCGAUACGGGCAGACUAGAGGUAUGCAGGGGAGAACGGAAUUCCUGGUGUAGCGGUGAAAUGCGCAGAUAUCAGGAGGAACACCGGUGGCGAAGGCGGUUCUCUGGGCCUGUACUGACGCUGAGGAACGAAAGCGUGGGGAGCGAACAGG
rnacentral:rRNA from 1 species